CCGACCCCAGCCCCCUGGGUACCACGGGCCUGGGUCCGGCCGCCGCCGCCCGCGCUCGCGGGCUCCGCCGGCUGCCGCUCCGUGUUUUCCCCCAUCCCGGCUUCACGUUCAAGGUUUAGCUGCGAGGUCACGUCCAUUGACGUCAGCUCCCUGUCUCCCUCUACGUCCGGCUACAUUUACAUACAUCAAGGAAAUUAGGGCAUUAAAAAAAUAUGCAAAUCCUGCGCGGAGAGGAGCGGGUGCAUUCCUGGCGCGAUCGCCUUUUAUUGAAGCUUUUAAUUAAAGGGGCCAGUUGGCGAGCCCCUGAAACAACCGCCAAAACCCCCCAAAAGAGAAAAAUAAACGCUGUAGCCUUCGAGAACGGUUGUUUCGGCUCCUGUUCUGUGGGCGGCUGAGGACCGCCGGCUGCCCGGCUCGGAGAAGAACAGGUGACACCUCGGCGGCAGAUCAAUGGACUGCUGGGGUUUCUGGGAGAGACGCGCGAAGAGGGACUGUCACGCACAGAGCUGAGAACAGCGGAUCCUACAGAAGUAAUUAGACUGACAGGAGGUGACAUCUUCCAGACAAUAAAAUGGGAGAAGGAGUCCAGACAGAUUUAUGAAGAUAAGCAUCUUGCUUCAGAAGCUGAACAAUCUUUCGAAAGCAGGAAAUCCACAGAGGAGUAGGAAGUGCAAGUGAAAUGGACACUGCCGAGCAAUGCGGUUUCUGAGAACAGUUCAUAACCACACUCCCAUGCUGGCGGGCAGGCGCUCAGGACGCUGCUGCUGCCAGACUCCGGCGUAGCUGGGAAGGGUCUGCCCAGGGCCUCUUCCAUUUAGAAUGUUUGGCACAGGUACCAAGACAGCGCGUGGGAUGCCCUCACCCAGGAUCAGAGUGCCUGGGGUUCGGGUCCCAGCUCCACUCCCAAUUCCAGCUUCCUGCUGGUCUGUACCGUGGGAGCCAGUGGUGAUGGCUCAAGAGGCUGAGUCUCUGGGAAGCCUAGACUGAGCUCCUGGCUCCAGACUGGCCUGGCUCAGCCCUGGCCAUUGUGGACAUUUGGGAAGUGAACCAGUGGACGGGAGCUCUCUCUCUCUGUCUCUCUUAGAUAAAUAAAUCAAUAAGAUGCAUUCAGAAAAUAAUGAUUGAAACCCCAGUGCUAUAUCCGAUACUGUCUUGUGCAUUCAGGUUUUAGAAGAGCAGGCAAUACAAAUUCAAACCAGAAAACUCUGAACCGACCUAUAACAGUCCAUAGUUUCGUGGCAAUUUCCCGCAUGGCUCACUCAGAUUGGGGGGAACGAAGAUGCUAAGAAAUCCCUCCAUAGGUUUUAACAAUCAAAACACUAAGUACUGCCCUGCUCUCCUGAUAUCACAGUCCUUCUCAGUUCUUGUUCUAGAAACGGAAAGACAUGGAAAUGCGGUGGAUUUAGUACACUCAGAAGGUAGACUUUAAUUAGGCAAGCAAAUCAUAUGCAAUACAGUGCUUGAGAGAAUGAAACUGCACCAAAAGUAUUCAUUUGUGGUGCAAAUUUUAUAAAAAGUAGAAAAUGCAAAUCCUUGAUGCUCAUUCUAAUCAGAUAUUGACUUCUGGGUGGCAAGAGCUGGAGGUUUUCACUCCCUGUUUUUAUGCUUUUCCUUAAAAGAGAAUCUUCAAAAUUUGUUUAUUUGAAAGGCAGAGUGACAGAGAGAGAGGGAGAGACAAAGAGAGAGAGAUCAUCCAUAUGCCGGCUCACUCCCCAAAUGGCUGCAAUAGCCAGGGCUGGCCAGGCUGAAACCAGCAGCCAGGAACUUCAUCCCUGUGACCCAUGUGGGUGGCAAGAACCCAAGUCCUUGGGCCACCAUCUGCUGCCUUCCCAGGCACAUCAGCAGGAAGCUGGAUCAGAACUGUAGAGUAGCCUGGACUGGAACCAGCACCCCAAUAAGGGAGCUGGGUGCUGCAAGUGGGGACUUACUCUGCUAGGGUCACAAUGCCAGCCUCUUGAAGGAGACUCUCAAUAUUGGACUGAAAAUUUUAUUCACCAAAUAUUUCUUAUGUUCAAAUAAUGGAAAUAAAAGGCAAUAAAGUUCUAAGGGACCUCUAGUGUACUAACAUGAGGAUGCAUCCACCAACUUGGUCCCAAAAAUACGUCAUGUAGACAUUCAGAUGGCAAUGGUUCCUAGAGUCAUUGCACUUCAGUCCGGAUGAGACCACCACGCCCUGUGGCCCUUCCACGCCCUCCAGGAGGAGGUAGGGAGGAACAGUGCAGCAGCAGAGCACCCUCCAAGCGCUCCUGGUCCUCUUCACAGAGACCCUCGCUUCUCUGACCGUCUGCUUCCUCCCUCACUCAUGCACUCACUUUAUUCUGUCUGCAUUCUCUCCAGACCUUUAUCACACAGUACCGCUCCUGUAUGUGUUCGUCUUCUCUCUAGGUUGAGAGAUCCUUACUCAGCAAAGCACCUUCCUGUAUUCCCUUUGGAGUUUCGAUACUGAAUACGGCACAACGUCCUGCAGGAGCUCAAGAAAAGCUGGCGGAUGAACAGGAAAUCAUUUCCACCUCACCGUGAAGCUAGGCAGAGGUUUUCCCACUUGACCCAGCUGCCUGCGUGGUGGGAGGCCCAGAUGGUGGGGGGACCCCCGAGCCCUUGAUGCUCAUAAGUUAAUCACUACAAUGUGUCAGGUGUUGUCUGAGGUCUCCUGCAUGCAAAGGUGCUUCCUGCCACACAGGUAUGAGACCAUUUGCUCCUGCGUUCUUCCUCCCACUGCCAUGACCUCCAAGAGCCAGGGAUGGCUUCCCAGGCAUCUUGUGUCACCAGAGCUUAGCCCAGGGCCUGGCAGGUGCUAGGAGCUGAGUAACCGUUUGAAGCAUGACAACAGAUGGGAGUGGACGGAUGAACAGAGCAGAGAAGAACCUUCAAAUGUUCCAGGGGGAGAGUCAAAGUGCAGUAGUUUUGCAAUGGCAAAAAAAAUUUUUUUAACCAUUUCAUACUAUUAUUUCAAGGUAUACUAAAACUCAGUGUUUUACUCUAUCAUAAAUUUACUAUUUGUUGAAAUGUACAGUUUUUAAGUUAGAAAUCAUUGUAGUGUAAGGCAUUAUCUGUACCACAUCUGAAAUGGAUAGAAAUCAGGUUUUUUUAAAAAAAUUAUUGAAUGCUGAGGGCCAGUGUUGUGGCAUAGCAGGUAAAGCUGUCACCCACAAUGCCUGCAUCCCGUAUGGGCACUGGUUCGUGUGCUGACUGUCCAUUUCUGAUCCAGUUCUCUAUUAAUGGCUGUGAAAAGCAGCGAAGAAGGGCCCCAGUGUUUGGGCCUCUGCACCCAUGUAGGAGACUAACAGAAAGCUCUUGGCUUUGGCCUGGCCCAGUGCUGGCCAUUGAGGCCAUGUGUGGAUUGAACCAGCAGAUGGAAGAUGGAUCAAUCUCUCUCUCUCUCUUGCACUCUCUCU